GCCCGGAUGGUUUAGGGGUAUAAUUCUCGCUUUGGGUGGCAAUUGUCAUGUCCUGAUUGCGAGAGGUCCUGGGUUCGAUUCCCAGUUCGGGCC
rfam:Penicillium marneffei ATCC 18224 scf_1105668340984 genomic scaffold, whole genome shotgun sequence.